UUGAACGCUGGCGGCAGGCCUAACCCCUGCAAGUCGAGCGGAUGAAGGGAGCUUGCUCCUGGAUUCAGCGGCGGACGGGUGGGUAAUGCCUAGGAAUCUGCCUGGUAGUGGGGGAUAACGUCCGGAAACGGGCGCUAAUACCGCAUACGUCCUGAGGGAGAAAGUGGGGGAUCUUCGGACCUCACGCUAUCAGAUGAGCCUAGGUCGGAUUAGCUAGUUGGUGGGGUAAAGGCCUACCAAGGCGACGAUCCGUAACUGGUCUGAGAGGAUGAUCAGUCACACUGGAACUGAGACACGGUCCAGACUCCUACGGGAGGCAGCAGUGGGGAAUAUUGGACAAUGGGCGAAAGCCUGAUCCAGCCAUGCCGCGUGUGUGAAGAAGGUCUUCGGAUUGUAAAGCACUUUAAGUUGGGAGGAAGGGCAGUAAGUUAAUACCUUGCUGUUUUGACGUUACCAACAGAAUAAGCACCGGCUAACUUCGUG
rnacentral:rRNA from 1 species